GGACUACUGGGGUUUCUAAUCCUGUUUGCUCCCCACGCUUUCGCGUCUCAGCGUCAGUGUCCGUCCAGGUCGCCGCCUUCGCCACUGGUGUUCCUCCCGAUAUCUACGAAUUUCACCUCUACACCGGGAGUUCCGCGACCCUCUCCGGCACUCGAGCCUCCCAGUAUCUCAUGCACUUCCUCGGUUGAGCCGAGGGAUUUCACAUGAGACUUAACAGGCCGCCUACAAGCGCUUUACGCCCAAUAAUUCCGAACAACGCUCGCACCCUCUGUAUUACCGCGGCUGCUGGCAC
rnacentral:rRNA from 1 species